ACUGCUCCGAGUGGCUACAACUGAAUACCAACCUGAUUUGCAGAGGAUUACUAGAAACAAGAGAUGCCAGAAAUCCCACUGAGAUUAUCACCCCAUCACCUCCAGCAAGGUCAGCGCGUGGUGUGGCUCUUGGACUUUCACAGUUAAAGAUUUCGGCUCUUUGUGUCUAACUUGUUCGCCACCCCUGAGUUAUAAUGUUGAUUUAAUGCUGUCAGUAAGGACACACACACACACACACACACACACACACACACACACUUCACAGGUUUCUCUUCAUUUUAUAUUCAUCCCACUAUGAGUCACUGCAGAAUAUAAAUCAUCAACAGUUCAACAAAACUCCACUGCUGAAGAAAAAGACUCAUCUGGUCUGUAAUUUCUACCUCUUUAAAUAAAGUUCAUGUUAUUUAA